rnacentral:rRNA from 1 species
GACUGAGCGGCGGACGGGUGAGUAACGCGUGGGUAACCUGCCUCAUACAGGGGGAUAACAGUUGGAAACGGCUGCUAAUACCGCAUAAGCGCACAGUACCGCAUGGUACCGUGUGAAAAACUCCGGUGGUAUAAGAUGGACCCGCGUUGGAUUAGCUAGUUGGUGGGGUAACGGCCCACCAAGGCGACGAUCCAUAGCCGGCCUGAGAGGGUGAACGGCCACAUUGGGACUGAGACACGGCCCAAACUCC